UGCCAGCAGCCGCGGUAAUACGGAGGGAGCGAGCGUUAAUCGGAAUUACUGGGCGUAAAGCGCGCGUAGGCGGCUUUGUAAGUCGGAUGUGAAAGCCCAGGGCUCAACCCUGGAAUUGCAUUCGAUACUGCAUGGCUAGAGUAUGGUAGAGGGAAGUGGAAUUUCCGGUGUAGCGGUGAAAUGCGUAGAUAUCGGAAGGAACACCAGUGGCGAAGGCGACUUUCUGGCUUCAGACUGACGCUCAGGCGCGAAAGCGUGGGUAGCGAACAGGAUUAGAUA
rnacentral:rRNA from 1 species